UGAAAUGGGGCUCAGUGGUAGAGUUCCUGCCUUGCAAGCUCAAGGUCCUGGGUUUGACCCCAGCACUGCAA
rnacentral:tRNA from 1 species